UACAUUUUACUCUCUUAUUUUCAACAAUUCAUUAUUCAAUAAAAUAAUAUUAUACACAAAUUCAAAACGUUUCCUUGAUUUCAAUAGGGUUGGGUUGUGUUGGUUGGUUGGUUUAGAUAUUAAAAAUCAUAAAAAUAUGUUCGACAAUAAAAACAUAUCAAUCACAACGCUUCCCAUGAACAAAAACUUGUAAUCAGGCAUGAAGGGAAGUGUAUGUAUUAUACAAAUUAUCAUAUCACUUAAAGGGAAAAUAAGCCUAAAACCAAGCCCCAAAUUCUCACAUUAAAAUAUAAAUGAAUAAUCAACUUAAAAUUUAAAGUUAAGAGUACCAAAAAAUUAAAUACCGGAUUAGCGUCGAACCUAAACUGAUGCAAACCUCGACGAACAACGUCGCAAGACCCGAAAACAAUACCUUGGAGUACAAAUCAAAUUGUCCACAAACAAGGAAUUUAGGUAAAGAAAGAAUAUUGACCUCGUGGCUAUAAAGAACCAGAAACCAAUAUUAUAAAAGUUUGGAAAUCACAAAUUAGCACUUGGAAUUCCCAAAAAGUUGCAGAAGAACAAAGUAGGAGAAAAAAUCAAUGUUCCAUCUUUCUUAGGAACUAGCAAAAUAGGUACGGUACACGGACUCAUACUCUCAUAGAUGUGUCCUUUAGCCAAUAGCUCUUCUACUUGUCGUUGCAAUUCUUUAGUUUCUUCAGAACUGCUGUGAUAAAUUAGGAGGUUUGGAAUUUGAGCUCCAGGAAUAAAAUCGAUUUGGUGCUCAAUUUCUAAAAUUGGUGGCAAACCCGGUGGCGUUUCUUCAGGGAUAACAUCAUCAAACUCCUGCAAAAGUGAAGCAGCUACACUAGGCAAAGAAGAAUCAAGUUUAGCGUUAGAAGAAUAUGUUUCUUUAUGCAAAAACAAGAUCAUCAUUUUGUUGGAAUUACAAGCGUUCUUCAUUUCUCUCUCUUUUGCAUAAAAACACAUUUUUCUUUAGUCUUUUCUCACUUGUGUCGAAUCCUCUUGUUUUUCUUCCUCACCCUCAAAUUAUUCUCAACCUGCUGACUCUCCUUUCGGUCAUGCUCAACCUUGACCAUGGUUUCAAGUUGCUUUAUGUUGGCAGCAACGGACUUCUUGAUUUGAUUUUGCUCCUCAUACACUUGUUGAGGUGACAAUGGUGCAAGUGUAAUAAUCUUUCCGUCCUUGUUAAAGCUGUGUCUAUUUUCAUAACCAUCAUAAAUAUUGCACCUAUCAAACUACCAUGGCCUCCCAAGCAAUAUAUGACCUGCUUGCAUAGGAACAACAUCACAUAAAACUUCAUCAUUGUAUUGUCCAAUGGAAAAGAAAACUAGCCUCAUCUCUCCACUUUUAUUGAGCCAUUGUAGCCUAUAAGGCCUCAGGUAUCUUGUAGUACGUAAAUCAAGCUUUUUCACUGAUGAGUGCUCUACACUCAUAAUAUUUAUGCCACCUAAUUUGUUAUUUUGUUACUUUUGAGAGUGUUUUAGAGCUUUUUAUUGUGUGUUUUGAUGUUGUGAUGUAGGUUGAUGAAAUUGAAAGAAAUAAGCAAAAGUUGGCGAAAUUGGAGAAAAUUGCCAAAUUGUAAGACAUCCAAAGUUCGGGGACUAAAGCGUAAAUAUUGAAAAGUUGUGUUGAACCUCGCAAUGAAGAUCCAAGCAUGCUAGAAGUUAAUUGGAUGAAAAAAAGAAGUCAAAGGGAUCAAAUUUAGCUAAAAUAUGAUCACAAAUCAAUUUCCAACCGAAAAGUUGUACUCCAUAAUUUCAGCCUCACAUUGAGACUCACUUUUUAUAUAGCAAACGAUCGAAGCAGAGAAUAAUAUCUGAAGAAAAUUUAUACUCCUUUGAGUUAGCUUUCUAACAAGCUUGAAUUACCUCAAUUGGACAUCGAACGAGAAAGUUAUGCUAAAAUACUAAAGGACGAGUAGAAGGAAUUUUCCACCCGAACUGGGCGCCGUGGCGCCAAUGAAUCUGAAUUUGACAGUAAGGGCAGCGCUGUGGCACCCAAUAUUGUGCCGCCUAUGCGGGUAAACGUAUUUUGAUAUUUUUGGAUUUCUUUCUUGGCCCAUUCCAACCCAAAAUCGUCCAACACUUGAGGAGACUAUAAAUACUACCUAAAAGACCUAAUUAAGAGGGGAAAAAUGAGGAAGGAAAUCUGGAAGCAGCCGGCAAGAACACGUGAUUGGAAAGAGGAGUUUAGCCGGCCAAUUGCAAAAAUCUGGAGACAAAUCUACGGCUGGUCAAUACAAUUAAAGAAGAGAAAGUUAAUUUAAGAGAAUUUGGCAACAAUGGAAGAAGAAAUCGAGCGGCAAAAACGAGUUUUUCUAUUCCUUUUCUUCUCUAUGUUCUUUCUUAUUAAUUUAUUCAUGUCAAUUUUCUCAAUUAUGAACUAAACAAUUAUUCUAGGGAUGAUGUAGCCUACUUGAAACAUGUUUGGAUUCCGAUAUAAUUAUUUCAAUUGAUCUUUCCUUUUUAUUUAUUUAUGUUAUUUGUGCGCAAUGCUUUCAAUUAACUGGCCACUAAUUGACUGAUUUGAUGUUCUAAAUUUUGGUGCUCGAGAGAGUCAAAUUUAGGCGUGAUCUAAGACAACAUAACCUAGAUUUCGUAGGUUUCGAGAGAAAGUACGAAUCUUUGAUGCAUGUUUUAAUUAAAAACCACGUGCUUAGUGAUUUUUAUAUUUUUAAUUCGGAAUAGAGAUAUUGAAAUUGAAAUAUAAAAAUAGAUUCUAUUUGGCGCUCAAGGUUAGAGGUCGAUUUUCAUCCUAUUAAUCUCAGACAAUCCACACAAAAUUUAGCAUACAUGGAAUCCACAUUUAUCUCCAAGUUUCCCUACAACAGCUUAAUCUACCAAACAUCCUAUAUUUGGUUUAAAGGUAAUAUGAUGUUCAAAGGUUGUUUGGGUUUAGCAUCUAAAUUCUGUAAUCCAACCUAUAAACAUGAAUCAACCUACUCAUGCACAACGCUACAAUCAACUCACGUGCAAAAAUAAUUUUCGUUUUACAUAAAUAAGCAAAAAUCUAACUCAAGCACAUAACGUAUCCAUAACCCAUAAAUCAACGCACGUUCUCAAUUACACAAAUCAAUAUCGGCAAAGCUAUCUAACUCACACAAGCAUGCAAAACACAAAAUGAUUUUUUUUGUUUUUUUUUAACAGUGCACUGUAAUAAGAAAAUUAAAAAAAGAAAAAAUUGCACACAAAUCACACAAAAUACACAAAAUAAAAAAUAUGUAGGCAAUUAGAAAAUCAAUUAGAAAAUUUAUGAUACACCCCCAAACUUAAACUAAACAUUGUCCCCAAUGUAAAAUUAAAAGAAAAGGAGGAAAACUUCCCUGAAUUGUCUGAAUUACCAAUGAUGGUCUGGUGCUAUGAUGCUGAACUUGAUUGAUACUUCUUCUAGUUUCUCUCCCAAACUUGAUAUUUAUCCAGUUACUCUUCGUCAAUUGGUUUGAUUGUUCCACGAUGUCAAGUUUCCAAGGGAGACGAGGUAGGGCUAAUGAAUUCCUAUAUGAAAAAAAAAAUUGAAAUGAAAUAAACUCUCCUAUAAUUCAAAACAAAUAAAAUAAAAUAAAAUAAGUGAAAAGGUAAGAAUGCUUGGGUUGCCUCCCAAGAAGCGCUUCUUUAUAGUCACUAGCUUGACUCAACCGCAACGCCUACGGUGGAUCCUCAGGUGGCACAUUUCUCUUAUAUCUGAACUUUAUCUUCGGCUUUGUAUUCUCCUUCAUUGUAAUAUGGUGAACAAACUUAGGCUAUUUUGACCCUGGUAUGGCUUUCAAGAUCUCUUUUGGUUUGACAAUGUUUGGAGGUUUCAAACGCCUAUCUACAUAGCUCUUUUUUUAUCAGGUGGGUCAACUUCUUGAGCUAAGAUGAAAUCCACUGCUUUCUUCAUUUCUAAGUCAUUACCAUCAGUAGAUGCAUCCCUUGUUGAGUAACUAAUUUCCAUGUAUUGCACCAACGGAUCAUAAAAUAAUUCCCCCUUUUCUCCGUUUCUUGCAAUUACUUUAGCUGAUUGGAUCAUUUUGCAAGUGUUAACUUUUCCUUUUUCUGGGGCUUUCUUUUCUUGAUGGAUGUUGAAAGUUACUUGCUCUUCAUUAACUCGUAGUGUGAACUUUCUUUCUUGCACAUCAAUCAAUGCUCUUCCAGCAGCCAGGAAAGGUCAGCCAAGAAUCAAUGGUACUUUCUCAUCCUCCUCCAUGUCCAAUGCCACAAAGUCCACCGGAAAGAUGAACUUAUCAACCUUCACCAACACAUCUUCAAUAAUGCCUUUGGGAUAUGUGAUCGAUCUGUCCGCCAGUUGCAAGGUAAAGGUUGUGGGGUUCACUUUUCCAAGUCCCAACUUUUUGAACAUUGAUAAGGGCAUCAAGUUUAUGUUAGCUCCAAGGUCACAUAGUGCCCUAUCAAAUGUGAUACCACCAAUAUUGCACCGGAUGUUGAAGCUGCCCGGAUCUUUCAAUUUGUGAGGGAGCUUCUUCUGAGGUAUGGCAUUACACUCCUCUGUCAGCUUAACAGUCUCAAAUUCCUCCAACUUUCUCUUCUUUGACAUUACUUCCAUUAAGAACUUGACAUAGUUAGGCAUUUGGGCCAAGGUUUCUGCAAAGGAAAUGUUGAUGUGGAUUUUCUUGAAGACCUCCAGAAACUUUGCGAAUUUUUCAUCAAACUCCUUCUUCAAAUACCUCUGCGGGAAUGGUAGCGGGAGCUUCAAGAUAGGUGGGUUGUCCGAAAAUGAAAUUGAGUAAGACUUAUAAAUCUUCUUUGUUGCCUCUGCCUCAGUUUUCUGCCCUUCAGUCUGGUUGAUGCGAACCUCGUAGCAACGUUGACUAUGAAACCCACAACGAGAUUGACGAGCCCAAGAAAGCCAAAUUAAUCCAAAGUUUAGGAUUAACCCAAAAGAAAGUCGAACCAAAAAACCCAACGAGAACGACGCUUGAAAGACCCCUUGAUCACGCAAUCCAAGAAUUAAAUCCGGUUGUUUGAACGCCACAAGUUAUCACUUGAUAAGUUCAAAAUUGUUCAAUGAAGAACGAUGAAGAGAAGACAAUAUGCCUCACUUUAAUUCAAUAUCAAUAAUGUCAAAGGUUUUUAACAAUUGAAUGGAAACUCCUAUUUAUACUAAACCUAAAAACUAGGUAAAAAUCGUGCAAAAAUCGAGCAUAAUCUCCAAAAUAUGGAAAAGAAUCAAAAUCUAACAAAAUAUGGAAAAUUGCCAAAAUUAAAAAAUUCGUCAAAUUUUUGGCUUGUGCGGCCGCAUGGUGUAUUUCCAUGCGGUCGCAUGGUUCAACAAAAAAUUUCAAUUUAAGUUUCAGUAUGCCACUGUGCAGCCGCAUGGUGUUUUUGCUGUGUGGUCGCACAGGCUUAUUUUCAGCCUCCGGUUUCGUCGCUUGAUAACAAAUUGAUCCAAGUUGAUUCGACCUUCGACCCGAACAUGAAAGUUGCUCCAUUUUGAGUCCUGAACAUGGUUCUAUCAAUGGUUUCUUAAACGAGCAAUCCUAUCGCUUGUUUCACUUACUUUGCUCUUAAUCGCGUCAUUGUCCGCCAUCGACUAUCAACGGGUCUCGUCUCGUACUUACCUUCGUCGGGCUCGACUCCUGGACCAUAUCACUGCUUUUCCCUUGCAAGAAUGAGAUCCGAUGUAGGUACCCCAACCUCUCUAAGCUUGCAUUCUUCAAUUGGUUUACCACUUCUUAGGGUGAUAGCAUUGUAGUGUUCCCGUGGGUUAACCUCUGUGUCAUUGGGAAAUUGUCCUUUUUGUUGAGACUGUAUUGCAGUCGCUAUCUGACCAAUAUGUACCUCUAAAUUCUUUACUAGAGUCCCCAAGUUGGUCAUAUGUGUCUCAAUGCUGUCAAGUCUUACCUCAUCUUUGUUGAACCUCAAUCUGGUCUCCGAAAUGAAGUUUCCUAAAUAUCUUCCAGUGAUGGCUUUCACUCAAACGCUUGAUUAUUGAACCCCUAAUAGUAGUUAUUUCUUGAGUAGUUUCCCUUUUGAUUGAAAUUCCGAUCGUUCACAUACUGAAGUUGUUCAUUCUCCCUUUCAACUUUUUGGUAUGCAGUGGAUAUAGCCAUAAUAGAUUCUGAUUUCUUUUGUGAUCCAUGUGAAGUCAAUGCAGCUAUUUCAUUAGUGAUAGAUGACAUUUGAGCUGCAAGGGCGGUUAUAGGAUCUACUUCAUAAAGGUCAGCAACUUUCUUUGCACUUGAAUGCUCACUCGGCCAUUGAUAGCUAUUAGUAGCUAUCUCAUCCAAUAAUGCAUAAGCCUCAUUUGGGGUUUUGGAUAAUAGUGCACCCCCUGCUGCAGAAUCUACGAAUCCGUGUCUGACCAUUCAAAUCGUUGUAGAAGGUUUGUAUCUGCAACCAAUCCGGGUAACCAUGCUGAGGACAUAAUCUAAAUAGAUCUUUAUAUCUCUCCCAUGCCUCAUAGAAUGGUUCGAAGUCUAAUUGUCGAAACUGUCCAAUUUCACUCCUUAAUUGCGCUGCCUUCGAAGGUGGAAAGAAUUUUGUAAGAAACUUCCGCACUAACCCUUCCCAAGUUGUGAUGGAUCCAUACGGAAAUGAUUGGAACCAUGCCUUGGCUUUGUCUCUUAGGGAAAACGAAACUAGGUGGAGUCGGAUUGCAUCUUCAGUAACGCCAUUCAUUUUCACUGUAUCACAAAUCUCCAGAAAGGACCCCAAAUGAGCAUUUGGGUCUUCUGUUGGAGCUCCCUCAAAUUGAUUCUACUACACCAUGUGUAUAAGUCCUGGCUUCAAUUCGAAAUUGUUUGCAGCAAUUGCUGGGUUUGCGAUGCCAGAAUAGUUGUCAUUGACAACCGGCAUUAUGUAGUCCCGAAUAGCCCUUUGUUGGUUAUCCUCAUUGGCUGCUCUAACAUCCUCUUCUACCAUUUCUUCCCAUUCGUUUCUUUGUAUGCCUUUGAGAAUGCGAAAUGUGCGUUUUGGUUCAGGAUCAAUAGGUAGUAGGUCUAGAUUUAUCGCCCUUCGCAUAAACAGCUGAAAAUAACCACAAGGAAGCUCUUAAAGAUAAACACAAAAAGAAUAAAAUAAAAAUAAAAUCUAAAGUAAAAUGUAGGUAAUAAUAUCAAUUGAAUUCAAAUAAAUCAAUCCCCGGCAAAAACGCCAAAAACUUGUCACGCGAUUUAUGCAACGUGAUUUUUAAACCCCAAGUGUACGGUGUCAAGUUUUGUAAUAUAGUGAAGAAGUUAGGAUGUCGAACCCACAGAGAUUGAUAUUUGAAUCAAUUGAGUACUAUAAUUAUUUUAGCUUUCCCCUUAUUUAGACGAUCAAAUUUUGAGUCAAUAUUUUUAUGCUAAAUUAAAAUUAAAUAGGAUGAACGAUGCAAGUAAACGAGAGCAAAUUAUGAAGUUUCUUAUCAAAUUAUGAAUGCCUAGGGAAUAAUUUCACCUUACAUUCGACAAUAUUUUUCAACCGUAUAACUAUUUCUAUUAAUCUUUCCAAAAUUUAUAGGCAAGAACACUAUUUCCCUCUCUCGAGUGCCAAAUAAAAUCUAUUUUUAUAUUUCAAUUCCAAUAUCUCUAUUCCUAAUUAAAAAUAUAAAAAUUAUAAAGGACGUAGUUCUUAAUUAAAACAUGCCUCAAAGAUUCGUACUUUCUCUCGAAACCUACGAAAUCUAGGUUAUGUUAUCUUAGAUCACGCCUAAAUUUGCUUCUCUCGAGCGCUAAAAUUUAGAACAUCAAAUCAGUCAAUUAGUGCCAGUUAAUUGAAAGCAUUGCGCACAAACAACAUAAAUAAAUAAAAAGGAAAGAUCAAUUGAAAUAAUUAUAACGGAAUCCAAACAUGUCUCAAGUAGGCUACAUCAUCCCUAGAAUAAUUGUUUAGUUCAUAAGAGAAAAUUGACACGAAUAAAUUAAUAAGAAAGAACAUAGAGAAGAAAAGGAAUAAAAAACCUCGUUUUUGCCGCUCGAUUUCUUCUUCCAUUGUUGCCAAAUUCUCUCAAUUAACUUCCUCUUCUUCAAUUGUAUUGGCCAGCCGUGGAUUUGUCUCCAGAUUUUUGCAAUUGGCCGGCUAAACUCCUCUUUCCAAUCACGUGUUCUUGCUGGCUGCUUCCAGUUUUCCUUCCUGAUUUUUCCCCUCUUAAUUAGGUUUUUUAGGUAGUAUUUAUAGUCUCCUCAAGUGUUGAACGAUUUUGGGUUGGAAUGGGCCGAGAAAGAAAUUCAAAAAUAUCAAAAUACGUUUACCCACAUAGGCGGCGCUACGGCGCCCAAUAUGGGCACCACAGCACUGCUCUUAUUGUCAAAUUCAGAUUCAUUGGCGCCAUGGCGCUCGGUUCGGGUGAAAAAUUUCUUCUAACUUUCUCGUCCGAUGUCCAAUUGAGGUGAUUCAAAGCUCGUUAGAAAGCUAACUCAAAGGGGUACAAAUUUUCUUCAGAUAUUAUUCUCAGCUUCGAUCGUUUGCUAUGUCAAAAAUGAGUAUCAAUCAUAAAUUUUCUAAUUGAUUUUCUAAUUGCCUACAUAUUUUUUUAUUUUGUGUAUUUUGUGUGAUUUGUGUGCAAUUUUUUCUUUUUUUAAUUUUCUUAUUAGGGUGCACUGUUAUAAAAAAAAAAAUCAUUUUGUGUUUUGCAUGCUUGUGUGAGUUAGAUAGCCUUGCCGAUAUUGAUUUGUGUAAUUGAGAACGUGCGUUGAUUUAUGGGUUAUGGAUAAGUUAUGUGCUUGAGUUAGAUUUUUGCUUAUUUAUGUAAAACGAAAAUUAUUUUUGCACGUGAGUUGAUUGUGGCGUUAUGCAUGAGUAGGUUGAUUCUUGUUUAUAGGUUGGAUUACAGAACUUAGAUGCUAAACCCAAACAAUCUUUGAACAUCAUAUUACCUUUAAACCAAAUAUAGGAUGUUUGGUAGAUUAAGCUGUUGUAGGGAAACUUGGAGAUAAAUGUGGAUUCUGUGUGUGCUAAAUUUUGUGUGGAUUGUCUGAGACUAAUAGGAUGAAAAUUGGGUGAAAACCUUAAGUUAGAGGUCGAUUUUCGAAAAUUGGUGUUUAAUAAGGGGCAUUGCACUAAUCAUUGCAUAAAAAAAAUAUCUCAAUGAUGACAACUUUAAUAACCUCAUUGUGAAUCGUCUCUUCGUAGCCUUUAUGACUCGAGUGAUUAAGCCUGUAAGGGUUUAAAACCUGGCGCCCUAAAGUUGUCUGAUUUGGGAGUCAUCGGCCUAAAACUCGCUACAAGGGUCAUUUAGAAAGUUUAAGGGAGUGACUUCCACACAAAUGGUGUUUACAGAAUAAAUUUAUAUUUGAAAAAAAAAAUAAAGAAAAGAAAUUUGAUAUCACAUACCCUGAUUAAGCCCCGAACACUUGUUUUAGAGGAUUAGACCUUUGAUGAGAGGUUAGUAACUUGGUUGAUUCUGGGAAGUUGAAGCAGUCAAAAAUAAGGAGAAUCCUUAUCUGUUGAUAUGUUGAACUGCAAUAGUGAAAUCUAAUCAAACUUGAGCGGUUUAAGAAAUUAGUUUUGAAAAAUCAACUUUAGAAUACACAUUGGGAAGAGAAAGAUAACAAGUUUGGGGUGUGUGUGAAUCCCACGAGCGAGGCAAGGAAAUUUUUAACUUUUAAGUUUGGGAAUUGGGUCAAUUUAUUAUUGUACAUCGUUGCACUUAACUCUCCAUACACACACCCGGUUGCAUUGAAUAGGCGAGAAUUUGACUUGUGCAUUAUAGCUUUGAAGUAAUUCAUGAAUUUGACGCUAUGUUUUUAAUCUUGAGCUAUAAAGGCAAGGUGUCUAACAUAACGUGUCUUUUAAGUGAUUUUGUUUGUUUUAGUUGUGCUUGUGUACUUGUUAAUGAUUUUAUUUAGUUUGGUGUUUGCUCGAGGACAAGCAAAAUAUUAAGUUUGGAGGUAUUUGAUGAGUGCUCUACACUCAUAAUAUUUAUGCCACCUAAUUUGUUAUUUUGUUACUUUUUAGAGUGUUUUAGAGCUUUUUAUUGUGUGUUUUGAUGUUGUGAUGUAGGUUGAUGAAAUUGAAAGAAAUAAGCAAAAGUUGGCGAAAUUGGAGAAAAUUGCCAAAUUGUAAGACAUCCAAAGUUCGGGGACUAAAGUGCAAAUAUUGAAAAGUUG
rnacentral:lncRNA from 1 species